rnacentral:rRNA from 1 species
UACGAAGGGGGCUAGCGUUGCUCGGAAUCACUGGGCGUAAAGGGUGCGUAGGCGGGUCUUUAAGUCAGGGGUGAAAUCCUGGAGCUCAACUCCAGAACUGCCUUUGAUACUGAAGAUCUUGAGUUCGGGAGAGGUGAGUGGGAACUGCGAGUGUAGAGGUGAAAUUCGUAGAUAUUCGGAAGAACACCAGUGGCGAAGGCGGCUCACUGGCCCGGUACUGACGCUGAGGUGCGAAAGCGUGGGGAG